CUCAGAGGAAACUUCGUGUACCUGGUUCAUAGUAUGGGAGAGAACUCUCUGCAGAGCUGGAGAAGAUGGGUCUGGAAUCUGAGCAGAGGGCUUCCAUUUAAGCUGGGAGGAGGCAUCUUCAUUCACAAUGGUGGGCAGGAGCAGCUGCUACAGAGGUUCCCAAGCUUGGAUUCAGUUCGAAGUUACAGAAAAAAAAAAAAAAAAAAAAGCAAUGCUUAAAUUACACGAAGAUCAACUAAAUCAGGGUCUUCUGUGAACACAGGGUUUUAUUCCAGGGAAGUGAUACUAUGACAAUGGGAAGUCUUAUAAAGAAAAACAUUUAAUUGAGCUGGCUUACAGCUUCAGAAGUUUAGUCCAUUUUCAUCAUGGCGAGAAGCAUGGCAGCCUGCAACAGACGUGGUGCUGGAGAAGGAGCUGAGAGUUCUACAACUUGAUCUGUAGGCAGCAAAGGAGACUGAAUUUCACACUGGGUAGAGCUUUAGCAUAAGAAACUUCAGAGCCCAUCCCACAGUGACACACUUCCUCCAAUAAGGU
rnacentral:lncRNA from 1 species